CUUUUAACUUUUAUGUUUUAAUAUAGUAUGCUAAGUAUUUCUGUGGCAAAAUGAUAUCAAACACAACAGAGACACUAAAUAUCAAAUCAAUAAGUUCAACCAUGCACAAUAUCACUCUACGUAAGGUUUCAUGCAUCUUAAUCAUGUAAUAAACCCUCAUGCGUCAUGCCUCAAGUUCCGAACCCGAUGGGAUCCAACUUUCUUGUCUAAAAUUCAUUAUCUUCGAUCUUGUUUCCUUUUUUUGUUGUCUCUCUAUCAAAACAAAGUAUAAAAUCACCA
rnacentral:lncRNA from 1 species